AUAAAUAACUGUAUUUUAGAUAAUUUAAUAUCUAUUGAAUCUUGCAUUCCUGAUGAUUUUUUUGUUCCUCACAAUCAAGAUAUUUGCGAAGAUCUAGCACGAAAAAAUAUAGAUUUGGAUACUUAUAAAGAGAGCUGUGCGAUCAGUUGUGGAAAUCCUUGCUUUGAAAGAACAUAUGUUACAAGAUUAUUAAAAGAAGGAGAAUUAACG